AAAGUGAAUGUAAUAUGUGCUUCUGCACUUCUGAUUUAGAAGAAAUUUAUCUUCACCUUCUCUUGGUGGAAACAGCCACGUGAACUGUUGGUGAAAGUCCAUACCGCAGACCUCAGGGUCAGAUAGAUCAAAUUCAGUCUGUAAUUAAUUAAAUAAAAAUUCUCCUCUAUUGCACAGGUUGGCUACUGAAAAGAUUUGUUCAUAUUUUCUCAGUUAUAUAUCUUUAUCAAAUUGCCAGUGGGAAAACAAUGUGCUCUGGAAUUUGAAGUCCAAUCUUUACUUCAUCACUGAAUCAGAAUCUGAUAUCAGAGCCCUCUAGUGGAUAUAGUUUCAUCUAACCACAAGAACGUGACAGACUUCAGAAAUCAAAAAUCCUGUUCCUAUUACAAUUUUAAGAUCUGCCUCCUCCCACACUGCAGGUAAAUUAAAUUAAAAUGCUGAGGCUGAAGCCAGGUGCAUAUCUGGGGCAGUGGCUCUUGGGGCAGAUU
rnacentral:lncRNA from 1 species